AUCUAUGAUCCUACUAUCCUAAAUACUUUGCUCUCGAUCUCGUCUGAUCUUCAGAAGCUAAGCAGGGUUGGGCCUGGUUAGUACUUGGAUGGGAGACUUUGUUUAUGAUGUCUGGCAUAUAUUUU
rfam:Canis lupus familiaris chromosome 14, whole genome shotgun sequence.